rfam:Erinaceus europaeus unplaced genomic scaffold scaffold00210, whole genome shotgun sequence
AUGCUCACUUUGGAAGCACAUAUUUUAAAACUGGACUGAUACAGAGAAGAUUAGCAUGACCCCUGCACAAAGAUGGCAUGAAAAUUUGUGAAUUCCAUAUUUUU